rnacentral:lncRNA from 1 species
AGUUAGCCACUUGGGCUGGGAGUAAAAAUGGGACAAAGAGAAAACAAGAAGAAGAGAGAACCCUUGAUCCAGUCUGAUGUUUUUGUCUUCCAAGUGGAGAAGUUGAGACACAGGAUUUCCCGCCCCCCAUCCCCCAAAGCGUCCCAGCUUUCUCCAUCAAGACAGGACAAGAACCUUCAGCUUCUGGUUCCUUUUGGGGGCUUCCCUCACAGUGCAAACCCUGUUAACCCCUACACCCACCUCCUCACAGCCCCAAACAUUCGAUGCUCCCCAAAGCCUGGGGUUUGAAACUAUGGUGCAAUUCCCUGAUCCCUUGACNNNNNNNNNNNNNNNNNNNNNNNNNNNNNNNNNNNNNNNNNNNNNNNNNNNNNNNNNNNNNNNNNNNNNNNNNNNNNNNNNNNNNNNNNNNNNNNNNNNUUGAAACUAUGGUGCAAUUCCCUGAUCCCUUGACUGUCCUGACUCUUUCUCAAGAUCACUUGACAACCGCCUUCCUUGUAAUCUAUUUGUCCUCUCCCACCUGGCCCAGAAAAUCAAUAGCAAUGAUAGUAACAGUAAUGGCAUCCAUCAUUGAGGACAUACUCACAUCGUCCACGAAGAGGCAUUGUUACCCCCAUUUUACAGAUGAGGAAAAUGAGGCUCAGAGAAGUUAAGCGAUUUGUUUAAGGCCACACAGCCUUAGACAAAGAUCUAAGGCUGCUUCUGAUAAGUUUGAUUAUAAGGUGGUUGCAGCUGGGGCUGGUGAUUAAGGAGGUGGCCAAGAUGUCACCCAGAUCUGAGGGACACAGAGGACUUAAUGCUGCUGUUCCUGGGGUGGGUAGAGGCCCUGCAGCUGUAGCUGGUGGUGUCUGAGCGUGGCGACCACCCUGGGUGUUGCCCAGGCUCACAGGGCACUGAUUUCUGAUCUGAUCUGUGCCCGCCCAAGGAAAGCAGGGGUGCACCCCUAUCUCAUCUCUGUGGUUAGCUCGUCUGUGUUCCAUGAACAACUUCAGCCCCAAGCAUAAGCGGAGAGAUGCCAUGCAGCUCAGUUCCGGGUACAGCCACCCCCGGGGGAGGGGGUCGGGGUCUGGAAAGCCAAUGCCUUUUAUCCUUUUAUUUCUUUAAUGAUGGAGGAGGAAAAGGAUGGGGAGUGGUUACAAAUGUAUUCGUUUCUUGCUCCUUUGCAAAAUCCAUUUAAUUGUUGAUCCACUUCUAGACGCUUAAAUAACCUAUUUAUUCCCUCAUGUGCGGCAACUGUCUGCACUACACUGAACUUCCAGGAGCAGCUAGGGUUACGACAGCGACAGAAGCCCUCCUUCUGGUGAGUGGACAGAUGAGCAGGCAGGUGACCUCGGGGACUUAAUGAAGAGAAUGAGUUCAGGUUACUAAGGCAGCGGUCACCAGCCUGUUCGGGACCAGGGACCAGUUUCAUGGAAGACAAUUUGCCCACAGACUGGGGGUUGGGGGGGAUGGUUUCGGGAUGAUUCAAGCGCGUUACAUUUGCUGUGAACUUUAUUUGGAAUCUAAUGCCAAGGCUGAUCUGAUGGGAGCGGCAGAGGAUGAGACGGUUGGAUGGCAUCACUAAUGCAAUGGACUUGAGUUUGAGCAAGCUCCGGAAGGUAGUGAAGGACAGGGAAGCCUGGCGCGCUGCAGUCCCUGGGAUCACAAAGAGUCCAACACGACUGAGCGACUCAACAACAACUGAUCGACAGCCGGGAGGUUGGGGACCCCUGUGCUAAGGGGCCAGGUGAGGAGGUGCUGGUCCCCAGUCUGGACUAACCAGGGAGGUUUCCCAGAGAUGAAAGCUGAGGAUGCAGAAGGAACCUUUCCUCUACGCUCUGGGUUCAUCCGGCUGCCCUGAGAUUUAAAUUUACAUGAGACACAUUAAUAGGAGAAAAUAAACUUUUUAAUCCUUACAGACAGGAAUCCCACAUACACGAGAGCGUCAGAGACCAAGAGGGAAAAUGAGGUCUAUGUGCCGUCCUGAGCUGAGAGUUGAGGUCGGGGCCUGGGGCUUUCCAAGAAUGGGAGCGUCCCUCCCAGGAUGAUAAGAAGAGCAGACGGUGGGCAGAUGUUUGCCCUGACACACAGAUGGGGGGGCCACUUUGGUGACAUUUAUCGCUGGUACUAACUCUUUCCUGGGAAAAAGCCCCAAUUUCAACUCUUCUGGGUAGUAAGGUAGUUUCUUGUGAACCCCCAGGGUCUCAGUUGCCUUUAGCUCAAAAUAAUCCUCAUGCAAAAGUGACACAUUUGGGAGAGGUGCAUUCUGAACCCCCGUAUUAUGCACAGCAUCUGUGUAAAAUGUUAAAGACAAGAGUAAAGCAGGCACCCUGUAUGCUCCCUGCCCUCUCCCCAUGUGUCCACUUGGGGUGAAAGCUGCUUGGUAACUGAUUACUAAGGACAGGACCCGUGGGAGGUGCUACUAUUCCAUACCCAUCUGUCACAGCUCCUAUUGGCUCAUCUUCCCACCUCACCCAAAGCCUUCUUCCUACAAGGAUUCACUGAGCCUCUACUUGGCACCCUGUGCUAGCCACAGGGGUGCGGAGGCAGCAUGGUCCAUGACAUCCCCAUGCCUACAGGAGGCCGUAGUCUGAGUGGUGACUGCAGCCACGAAAUUAAAAGACACUUGCUCCUUGGAAGAAAAA